rnacentral:rRNA from 1 species
AAUGGAGGCAACUCUGACGCAGCCAUGCCGCGUGCAGGAGGACGGCCCUAGUGGUUGUAAACUGCUUUUCUUGACUAAGAACCAUGGGUACGAGUAUCCAUCUGACUAGUCUUGGAAUAAGCAUCGGCUAACUCCGUGCCAGCAGCCGCGGUAAUACGGAGGAUGCAAGCGUUAUCCGGAUUCACUAGGUUUAAAGGGUGUGUAGGCGGAGCAAUGAGUCAGUGGUGAAAGCUUACGGCUUAACCGUAAAAUUGCCAUUGAUACUGUUGUUCUUGAGUUCGGCUGAGGUAGGCGGAAUGAGUAAUGUAGCGGUGAAAUGCUUAGAUAUUACUCAGAACACCGAUUGCGUAGGCAGCUUACCAAACCGACACUGACGCUGAGGCACGAAAGCGUGGGGAGCGAACAGGAUUAGAUACCCUGGUAGUCCACGCCGUAAACGUUGAUUACUCGUUGUUGGCAAUACACCGUCAGCGACUGAGCGAAAGCAUUAAGUAAUCCACCUGGGGAGUACGUCAGCAAUGAUGAAACUCAAAGGAAUUGACGGGGGCCCGCACAAGCGGAGGAACAUGUGGUUUAAUUCGAUGAUACGCGAAGAACCUUACCUGGGCUUAAAUGUAGAGUGCAUGAGGUGGAAACAUCUCUUUCCUUCGGGACCCUUUACAAGGUGCUGCAUGGUUGUCGUCAGCUCGUGCCGUGAGGUGUCGGGUUAAGUCCCAUAACGAGCGCAACCCUCAUCGCCAGUUGCCAUCACAUAAUGGUGGGGACUCUGGUGAAACUGCCGGUGCAAACCGUGAGGAAGGUGAGGAUGACGUCAAAUCAGCACGGCCCUUAUGUCCAGGGCUACACACGUGUUACAAUGGCUGGUACAACGGGCAGCUACCACGCGAGUGGAUGCUAAUCCCCAAAACCAGUCUUAGUUCGGAUCGGAGUCUGCAACCCGACUCCGUGAAGCUGGAUUCGCUAGUAAUCGCACAUCAGCCAUGGUGCGGUGAAUACGUUCCCGGGCCUUGUACACACCGCCCGUCAAGCCAUGGAAGCCGGGAGUGCCUGAAGUCCGUAACCGCAAGGAGCGGCCUAGGGUAAAACCGGUAACUGGGGCU